rnacentral:lncRNA from 1 species
AUGUAGUUAAAUAUAAUCUCAACGAAUCGUAACUGUUCCUUGUACACACCACACAUACACACACACACACACACACACAUACAUACAUAAACGUAUUCAGAAAGAAUGAGUAAGAUACCUAUAAGAAGAUAAUAUAAAAAAAAAAGGUAAACAUAUCUGGAGUAAAAUUCUUUGCAAUAGAAAAUACAUAAAUAGUAACAGUACAAAGAUAAGAAAACAUAAACAAGGUCAGAAUGAAUUGUCUCACGUCAGACAUACGCAUAGAUAUAAUCUAGGUUUAUAUAACUUUCAUGUUAGUAGUACGUGUCUAGCAGUGGUGUGAAAUGCUGAUGUAAAAUAUUCGUCCGACGAUUAGUAUCUUUGCCAAGGAUUUUAUUACGAAUAAAAUUAUACGUAAAAAGCUAAUAAAACUGACAAAGAUUAUUCCUGGCAUAAAAAGAAGAAGAAAACUAAGAAUAAAAAGAUAAGGAAACACAGA